GUCACAAUGGUGGACUGUCCAGGUGCUGGCUCGGGAGGGAGGUCCACGUCACAAUGGUGGACUGUCCAGGUAGUGGCUCAGGAGGGAGGUCCACGUCACAAUGGUGGACUGUCCGGGUAGUGGCUCGGGAGGGAGGUCCACGUCACAAUGGUGGACUGUCCGGGUAGUGGCUCAGGGGGGAGGUCCACGUCACAAUGGUGGACUGUCCAGGUGCUGGCUCAGGAGGGAGGUCCACGUCACAAUGGUGGACUGUCCAGGUGCUGGCUCAGGAGGGAGGUCCACGUCACAAUGGUGGACUGUCCGGGUACUGGCUCGGGAGGGAGGUCCACGUCACAAUGGUGGACUGUCCGGGUAGUGGCUCGGGAGGGAGGUCCACGUCACAAUGGUGGACUGUCCAGGUGCUGGCUCGGGAGGGAGGUCCACGUCACAAUGGUGGACUGUCCAGGUGCUG
rnacentral:lncRNA from 1 species